GACGAACCGUGCGAACGUUAUUCGGAAUCACUGGGUUUAAAGCGCGUGUAGGCGGGUCGGCGCGUCGGUCGCUGAAAUCCCCCGGCUCAACCGGGGAAGGGGCGCCGAUACGGCCGGCCUGGAGGGACGUAGGGGGGGCUGGAACUUCCGGUGGAGCGGUGAAAUGCGUUGAGAUCGGAAGGAACGCCCGUGGCGAAAGCGAGCCCCUGGACGUCUACUGACGCUGAGACGCGAAAGCCAGGGGAGCGAACGGG
rnacentral:rRNA from 1 species